rnacentral:tRNA from 6 species
GCGCCGCUAGCUCAACUGGCAGAGCAGCUGACUCUUAAUCAGCGGGUUCGGGGUUCGAGUCCCUGGCGGCGCACAA